UACGUAGGGUGCGAGCGUUAAUCGGAAUUACUGGGCGUAAAGCGUGCGCAGGCGGUUCGUUGUGUCGGCGGUGAAAGCCCCGGGCUUAACCUGGGAAUGGCCGUCGAAACUGGCGAACUGGAGUGUGGCAGGAGGGGGUGGAAUUCCGCGUGUAGCAGUGAAAUGCGUAGAGAUGUGGAGGAAUACCGAUGGCGAAGGCAGCCCCCUGGGAUAACACUGACGCUCAUGCACGAAAGCGUGGGGAGCAAACAGG
rnacentral:rRNA from 1 species